rnacentral:lncRNA from 1 species
ACUAAUCGAGUCUAAACAAGUCUGAAGUGAUGUGAACCCUACAACCUAACAACCCUGAAAGAAACCUCAGUUCCGGGUCUUAGCAAACCGUGGACCAUUUGUAACCCUGACCCACAAACCCUCAAGUUUUGGCCCACCAAAACAGGACACCUCCACGUUAGUCCAACGUGCCCAAGCCCAAGCCCUCAUUCUAAACGCGGUCCCCCAACGGAGACAGCAACCCUUGGAUCCAAAGCCCACCAAAAGAGGCGCCCGAAUAUUCACCAACAUUUUAACUUCUCUCUCCUUCAAAUCUUUUCCAUGAGCCUCCGCUCCAAGUUCGCCGCCUUCUUCAGGAAAGCCCGUUCCCUCGCCGGGGCCGCCUCCGCUGCCACCAUCCCCUCCUCCCCCGCCGUCGCCGCCGCCCCACCGCCUCCCAAGGCGUUCUCCACCUCCGCCAUGGACGACUCCAAUGCCGCCGCACCCACGACCCUGCGCACCCGCCUCUGCAUCAUCGGCAGCGGCCCCGCCGCCCACACGGCGGCGAUCUACGCCGCGCGAGCCGAGCUCA